rnacentral:rRNA from 1 species
UCUGAAACUCGACCUCAUGAAGCCGGAAUCGCUAGUAAUCGCCAAUCAGCCAUGUGGCGAUGAAUAUGUUCCUGGGUCCUGCACUCACCGCCCGUCAACUCAAGCGAGCCGGGGAUGCCCGAAGUGCCCCGCAAGGGGAGCCAAGGUAGACUCGGUGAGAGGGGGUAAGUCGUAACAAGGCACGCGUAGCGGAAGCUGUGCGUGGAUCACAACAUUU